GCCACCUUAGCUCAGUUGGUAGAGCAACUGUUUCGUAAAUAGUGGGUCGUGGGUUCAAGUCCCUCAGGUGGCU
rnacentral:tRNA from 1 species